rnacentral:rRNA from 1 species
AGAGUUUGAUCAUGGCUCAGGAUGAACGCUGGCGGCGUGCUUAACACAUGCAAGUCGAACGAAGCACUUUAUUUGAUUUCCUUCGGGACUGAUUAUUUUGUGACUGAGUGGCGGACGGGUGAGUAACGCGUGGGUAACCUGCCUUGUACAGGGGGAUAACAGUUGGAAACGGCUGCUAAUACCGCAUAAGCGCACAGCAUCGCAUGAUGCAGUGUGAAAAACUCCGGUGGUAUAAGAUGGACCCGCGUUGGAUUAGCUAGUUGGUGAGGUAACGGCCCACCAAGGCGACGAUCCAUAGCCGACCUGAGAGGGUGAUCGGCCACACUGGGACUGAGACACGGCCCAGACUCCUACGGGAGGCAGCAGUAGGGAAUCUUCGGCAAUGGGGGCAACCCUGACCGAGCAACGCCGCGUGAGUGAAGAAGGUUUUCGGAUCGUAAAGCUCUGUUGUAAGUCAAGAACGAGUGUGAGAGUGGAAAGUUCACACUGUGACGGUAGCUUACCAGAAAGGGACGGCUAACUACGUGCCAGCAGCCGCGGUAAUACGUAGGUCCCGAGCGUUGUCCGGAUUUAUUGGGCGUAAAGCGAGCGCAGGCGGUUUGAUAAGUCUGAAGUUAAAGGCUGUGGCUCAACCAUAGUUCGCUUUGGAAACUGUCAAACUUGAGUGCAGAAGGGGAGAGUGGAAUUACAUGUGUAGCGGUGAAAUGCGUAGAUAUAUGGAGGAACACCGGUGGCGAAAGCGGCUCUCUGGUCUGUAACUGACGCUGAGGCUCGAAAGCGUGGGGAGCGAACAGGAUUAGAUACCCUGGUAGUCCACGCCGUAAACGAUGAGUGCUAGGUGUUGGAUCCUUUCCGGGAUUCAGUGCCGCAGCUAACGCAUUAAGCACUCCGCCUGGGGAGUACGACCGCAAGGUUGAAACUCAAAGGAAUUGACGGGGGCCCGCACAAGCGGUGGAGCAUGUGGUUUAAUUCGAAGCAACGCGAAGAACCUUACCAGGUCUUGACAUCCCGAUGCUAUUUCUAGAGAUAGAAAGUUACUUCGGUACAUCGGUGACAGGUGGUGCAUGGUUGUCGUCAGCUCGUGUCGUGAGAUGUUGGGUUAAGUCCCGCAACGAGCGCAACCCCUAUUGUUAGUUGCCAUCAUUCAGUUGGGCACUCUAGCGAGACUGCCGGUAAUAAACCGGAGGAAGGUGGGGAUGACGUCAAAUCAUCAUGCCCCUUAUGACCUGGGCUACACACGUGCUACAAUGGUUGGUACAACGAGUUGCGAGUCGGUGACGGCAAGCUAAUCUCUUAAAGCCAAUCUCAGUUCGGAUUGUAGGCUGCAACUCGCCUACAUGAAGUCGGAAUCGCUAGUAAUCGCGGAUCAGCACGCCGCGGUGAAUACGUUCCCGGGCCUUGUACACACCGCCCGUCACACCACGAGAGUUUGUAACACCCGAAGUCGGUGAGGUAACCUUUUGGAGCCAGCCGCCUAAGGUGGGAUAGAUGAUUGGGGUGAAGUCGUAACAAGGUA